CCCUUAGAUGUUCUGGGCAGCACGCGCGCUACAAUGGUCUUCGCAAACGGAUGCAUUCUCGAAGGAGAAUGCCAAUCUUGGAAUCUAUGCCUUGGUCGGGACAGUUGCUUGCAAUUUUUCGACUCGAACCAGGAAUUCCUUGUAAUCGUGAUUCAUCGCAUCACGAUGAAUACGUCCCUGCCCUUUGUACACACCGCCCGUCGCUCCUACCGAUCGAAGAGUUAGGUGAAUUGUUUUGAUCGAUAAGAUUUGACUAUGGUCAACUCUCGUUGUGAAAUUCUGUGAAUCUGACUGUUUAGAGGAAGGAAAAGCCGUAACA
rnacentral:rRNA from 1 species